GAUGAACGCUAGCGGUAGGCUUAACACAUGCAAGUCGAGGGGUAUUGGUUUUCGGACCAAGAGACCGGCGCACGGGUGCGUAACGCGUAUGCAAUCUACCUUUUGCAGAGGGAUAGCCCAGAGAAAUUUGGAUUAAUACCUCAUAGUAUAGCGACAUCGCAUGAUGAUGCUAUUAAAGUCACAACGGCAAAAGAUGAGCAUGCGUCCCAUUAGCUAGUUGGUAAGGUAACGGUUUACCAAGGCAACGAUGGGUAGGGGUCCUGAGAGGGAGAUCCCCCACACUGGUACUGAGACACGGACCAGACUCCUACGGGAGGCAGCAGUGAGGAAUAUUGGACAAUGGGCGCAAGCCUGAUCCAGCCAUGCCGCGUGCAGGAUGACGGUCCUAUGGAUUGUAAACUGCUUUUAUACGAGAAGAAACACUCCAACGUGUUGGAGCUUGACGGUAUCGUAAGAAUAAGGAUCGGCUAACUCCGUGCC
rnacentral:rRNA from 1 species